GACAUGCUGCCCCGGUGGCCGAAUGAGUAAUGCGGCCACCAGGUAGCGCCUUGGCGUGGGGACCCAGGGUGCGUGGGUUCGAAACCCACAGGGGACAACAUUACAUCCGGAGCCAACUUCUCAGCUCCUAAAAUAAUGGGAUGUGAACUUGCCAAGUAGGUACCUUCGGGCGGACCUACUACCUGAUUUAGCUUAUUGUUUCUGGGCUGGAAACCUGUAUUGCAUGUACCAAUUCUGUCUUUCAUUAAUUUUCCUAUGUUCUUGUUAUUCUUGGCGCUGUUCAACACUAAGCAUUCCUCCGGUAUAACCAACUCUUGCCUGUAUUUAACAUCACACAAGGACUCGUCAUAAGCGCUGCUUGCAUACGAGUAUAACGGAAGAAUAAUAAUAAUAAUAAUAAUCAUGAC
rnacentral:sRNA from 1 species